CUGAUGCAGCCAUGCCGCGUGUGUGAAGAAGGCCUUCGGGUUGUAAAGCACUUUCAGUUGUGAGGAAAAGUUAGUAGUUAAUACCUGCUAGCCGUGACGUUAACAACAGAAGAAGCACCGGCUAACUCCGUGCCAGCAGCCGCGGUAAUACGGAGGGUGCGAGCGUUAAUCGGAAUUACUGGGCGUAAAGCGCACGCAGGCGGUUUGUUAAGCUAGAUGUGAAAGCCCCGGGCUCAACCUGGGAUGGUCAUUUAGAACUGGCAGACUAGAGUCUUGGAGAGGGGAGUGGAAUUCCAGGUGUAGCGGUGAAAUGCGUAGAUAUCUGGAGGAACAUCAGUGGCGAAGGCGACUCCCUGGCCAAAGACUGACGCUCAUGUGCGAAAGUGUGGGUAGCGAACAGGAUUAGAUACCCUGGUAGUCCACACCGUAAACGCUGUCUACUAGCUGUGUGUGUCUUUAAGACGUGCGUAGCGAAGCUAACGCGCUAAGUAGACCGCCUGGGGAGUACGGCCGCAAGGUUAAAACUCAAAUGAAAUUUGACGGGA
rnacentral:rRNA from 1 species